rnacentral:rRNA from 1 species
CGGCCCUACGGGGGGCAGCAGUGAGGGAUAUUGGUCAAUGGGGGAAACCCUGAACCAGCAACGCCGCGUGAGGGAAGACGGUUUUCGGAUUGUAAACCUCUGUCCUCUGUGAAGAUAAUGACGGUAGCAGAGGAGGAAGCUCCGGCUAACUACGUGCCAGCAGCCGCGGUAAUACGUAGGGAGCAAGCGUUAUCCGGAUUUACUGGGUGUAAAGGGAGCGUAGGCGGCGCGUUAAGUCUGAUGUGAAAAACCGAGGCUCAACCACGGGAGUGCAUUGGAAACUGGCGGG